AACACAAACAAAAAAACCCAAGUGACUGCAUUUUAAUUUUAUCUCUUGGGUGUGUGAUGGUUACUUUUUUAUCUUCGAAAGGAAAAAUAUUUCUUUCAUUCUUCAAUAAUCACAGUGACUUAAUAGUGGGAUGCGUGUGCCUGUUGGGCACUGCACAAUGUCUCAAACUUCAGAAUUAAACUGAACCAUGCCAUCCUCCCUUCCUCAUCCUCAUUGUUUCUACUUGCAUUUCUUCACAGCAACCACCUGCAACCAAGCAUCCGGAAGAUACGAUGUCAGCGAAGAAAGUGUAGAGAGAUUUAAUGUUGAACCUGUUGAAGCUGGUAAUUCAGUAAAUACGAAUUACAGCUUUCAUUGAAUGAUUAUGGAGAAAUGAGAAUGAGACCAAAUGGAGCGUUGUUUUCCUUGGCAACUUUCCUCCCCACCAGUCUGUCUGCAACAAUCACGGACAACUUAGCAUCACGAAGAUAGGAAGGCAACGUGGUGAGGUCUGCCGCUCGGCUGUGGUGUGCUGGCAGUUCACGAGGCGUGGCUGCCACGCUGGCCUGCUGCUCUCCAUCUCCUUGUCUGGGCACCUCUGCGGCGGCGGAGAGGACAGCAGGAAUGCAGCACGUUUUCACUGGAGGGGAGAGAAUGGGGGAGCUGGUCUGGGUGCCAAGCAACACUCGUGUCCUUGGAGACCAGGCAUCAUGGAAUGAGAGAGAAAAGGCAGUGGGGGAGGGGCAGCUCAUCCCCAGCCAAAUGCAUUUUUCAGGACUAAGGGAAGGGAUGUCCCACAGUGUCUUUAAUUGAUAACCUCUUACGUGAAAUCCAGAGGGCCUCCAUGUAUAACUUCAUGUCUAUUGUUUGUGUGUCUCAGGCCAGCAGUUCCCAAAGUGCAGUUCCAGGACCUCCGGAGGCCAUUAAGACCCUUUCAAGGCAUCCACGUCUUCUAAACUUUUUUCUAAAAACGAUACAUUUUUAUUCACGUAUUUCUCGUUUUCUCUGCGUGAUAUGAUGUUGCGAGUGUCUGAAUUAAGAAUCAGAAUAUACAGGCCAUGUCUCUCCGAUUACAAAAGACA